rnacentral:rRNA from 1 species
CCUACGGGAGGCAGCAGUGGGGAAUAUUGGACAAUGGGGGGAACCCUGAUCCAGCGACGCCGCGUGAGUGAAGAAGUAUUUCGGUAUGUAAAGCUCUAUCAGCAGGGAAGAAAGAAAUGACGGUACCUGACUAAGAAGCCCCGGCUAACUACGUGCCAGCAGCCGCGGUAAUACGUAGGGGGCAAGCGUUAUCCGGAUUUACUGGGGGUAAAGGGAGCGUAGACGGCGAUGCAAGUCUGAAGUGAAAGGCGGGGGCUCAACCCCCGGACUGCUUUGGAAACUGUAUGGCUGGAGUGCAGGAGAGGGAAGUGGAAUUCCUAGGGUAGCGGUGAAAUGCGUAGAUAUUAGGAGGAACACCAGUGGCGAAGGCGGCUUACUGGACUGUAACUGACGUUGAGGCUCGAAAGCGUGGGGAGCAAACAGGAUUAGAUACCCCGGUAGUC